GAUGAACGCUGGCGGCGUGCCUAAUACAUGCAAGUCGAGCGAACGGACGAGAAGCUUGCUUCUCUGAUGUUAGCGGCGGACGGGUGAGUAACACGUGGAUAACCUACCUAUAAGACUGGGAUAACUUCGGGAAACCGGAGCUAAUACCGGAUAAUAUUUCGAACCGCAUGGUUCAAAAGUGAAAGACGGUCUUGCUGUCACUUAUAGAUGUAUCCGCGCUGCAUUAGCUAGUUGGUAAGGUAACGGCUUACCAAGGCAACGAUGCAUAGCCGACCGGAGAGGGGGAUCGGCCACACUGGAACUGAGACACGGUCCAGACUCCUACGGGAGGCAGCAGUAGGGAAUCUUCCGCAACGGGCGAAAGCCUGACGGAGCAACGCCGCGUGAGUGAUGAAGGUCUUCGGAGCGUAAAACUCUGUUAUUAGGGAAGAACAUAUGUGUAAGUAGCUGUGCACAUCUUGACGGUACCUAAUCAGAAAGCCACGGCUAACUACGUG
rnacentral:rRNA from 1 species